GGGGACGGGCUAUGGCUCAGUGGCAGAGUAUCUGGUUAGCAUGCAGAAGGUUCCAGCUUCAAUCCCUAGCUUCUCCA
rnacentral:tRNA from 1 species